CCUAUGGAGCUUUACUGCAGGCUGUCGCUGAGACGUGGUCGCUGAUGUGCAGGGUAGGUAGAAGUCGUUACCGAGGCCCGUGCGCCAGCACGGCGCCCAGACACACAUGAAACACUACCCGUCAGUGACUGCGACUCUCACUCCGGGAGGAGAACACCGGUAGCCGGGCAGUUUGACUGGGGCGGUACGCGCUUGAAAGAAUAUCGAGCGCGCCCCAAGGCCACCUCAGCCGGGUCGGAGACCCGGCGGAGAGCGCAAGAGCAAAAGGUGGUUUGACAGUGUCCUUCCCAACGAGGGACGCUGACGCGAAAGCGUGGUCUAGCGAACUUUUGCGCCUGCUUGAUGCGGGCCAAAAAUGACAGAAAAGCUACCCUAGG
rnacentral:ncRNA from 1 species